UGUUUCAGCAUUGCACCCAGAGUCUGCAACUCGGACAUUGUACCUGGAGCUUGUGUUGUUGUAAUAAACAUGAUU
rfam:Xenopus laevis strain J chromosome 8S, whole genome shotgun sequence.